AACGAACGCUGGCGGCAGGCUUAACACAUGCAAGUCGAACGCAUCCUUCGGGGUGAGUGGCAGACGGGUGAGUAACGCGUGGGAACGUGCCCUUCAGUUCGGGAUAACCCAGGGAAACUUGGGCUAAUACCGGAUACGUGCGAGAGCAGAAAGAUUUAUCGCUGAAGGAUCGGCCCGCGUCUGAUUAGCUAGUUGGUGGGGUAAUGGCCCACCAAGGCGACGAUCGGUAGCUGGUCUGAGAGGAUGAUCAGCCACAUUGGGACUGAGACACGGCCCAAACUCCUACGGGAGGCAGCAGUGGGGAAUAUUGGACAAUGGGCGUAAGCCUGAUCCAGCCAUGCCGCGUGAGUGAUGAAGGCCUUAGGGUUGUAAAGCUCUUUCGUCCGGGACGAUAAUGACGGUACCGGAAGAAGAAGCCCCGGCUAACUUCGUGCCAGCCGCCGCAGUAACAC
rnacentral:rRNA from 1 species